rnacentral:rRNA from 1 species
UACGUAGGGCGCAAGCGUUGUCCGGAAUUAUUGGGCGUAAAGAGCUCGUAGGCGGCCUGUUACGUCUGCUGUGAAAUCCCGGGGCUUAACCCCGGGCCUGCAGUGGAUACGGGCAGGCUAGAGGCAGGCAGGGGAGAACGGAAUUCCCGGUGUAGCGGUGAAAUGCGCAGAUAUCAGGAAGAACACCAGUGGCGAAGGCGAGUCUCUGGACGACUCCUGACACUGAGGCACGAAAGCCAGGGGAGCAAACAGG